CUAACCACCCAACGUCUCGUGGGUUCCUUCGGGAACCGGCGGGACCGCGCGUGGGACCCGAUCCGGCAGUAAGCAAGCGUGUUAACAGGGGUGACGCAGACAGGUAGCCACCGCGUGCUUAAUGGCAAUGCACGUCUAAGGAUGCAGGGCGGGGUGCAGGCAAAUCCGCACCCCACGAAGCCUCAGGUCCGACAGUGACCCCGUAUGGGGGAAGCAGGGUGAUCCUAUGCUGCCGAGAAAAGCCUCGACGCGAGGGACUAGCCGCCCGUACCCUAAACCGACUCAGGUGGUCAGGUAGAGAAUACCAAGGCGAUCGAGAGAAUCGUGGUUAAGGAACUCGGCAAAAUGCCCCCGUAACUUCGGGAGAAGGGGGGCCGUGAGGGGGUGAGGCCACUGACUGGCUAGCCCUUUCGGGCCGCAGAGACCAGGGAGAAGCGACUGUUUACUAAAAACACAGGUCCGUGCGAAGUCGCAAGACGAUGUAUACGGACUGACGCCUGCCCGGUGCUGGAAGGUUAAGAGGACGGGUCAGCCGCGAGGCGAAGCUCAGAAUUUAAGCCCCAGUAAACG
rnacentral:ncRNA from 1 species